rnacentral:rRNA from 1 species
ACACGAMGACCGGUGCUCUGUGAUACGUCUUAUACGAGUCGAGUUGUUUGGGAAUGCAGCUCAAAAUGGGUGGUGAGUUCCAUMUAAAGUUAAAUAUUGGMGAGAGACCGAUAGCGAACAAGUACCGUGAGGGAAAGAUGAAAAGCACUUUGGAAAGAGAGUUAAACAGUACGUGAAAUUGUUGAAAGGGAAACGAUUGAAGUCAGUCGUGACCGAGAGGCUCAGCCGGUUCUGCCGGUGUAUUCCCCUCGGUCGGGUCAACAUCAGUUUUGUCCGGUGGAUAAGGAYGGUAGGAAGGUGGCACCCUCGGGUGUGUUAUAGCCUGCCGUCGCAUACAUCGGGUGAGACUGAGGAACGCAGCUCGCCUUUAUGGCCGGGGUUCGCCCACGUCCGAGCUUAGGAUGUUGACAUAAUGGCU